AUAAUAUUUGCUUCAUAUAUUUGCUAGUCUUGUGUGUUGUAAUUGUUAUAUCUUCUUGUGAAUUGAUGUUUUUAUCACUGAACCAUGUCCUCCUUUACCACUUUUUACAAUAUUUGAUUUAAAGUAUGUUUUUUCCUUCUUGUUUCUACUCAUUUUGGGUUUCCAUUUGCAUGUCUUUUUCCAACUUUCCCUUUCAGUCUAUGUGUAUUUGACCCCUGAAGUCCAUUUCUUAUGGACAGCAUAUGGACAGCAUAUAAUUGAAUUUUGUUUUUUUAAUCCAUUCAGCCAACAUGCAUCUUUUCAUUGGGGCAUUAACCCAGUUACAUUAAUGGUUAAUUGUGAUAGAUUAUUUAUUGUUUAUUUUAUAUGUUUCCUUUUGUCUCUAUCUUUGUGGUCUGGCAAUUCUCUGUCAUUAUACAGUUUCAUCCUCUAUGUCUUUUUCUUUCUUUUUGGUAUCUGUGUUGUGAGUGAAUUUUGUACUGCUGUUGCUUUGUCCUAUCAGGCAUGCCUGAGUGAUGUUAUGGCUUGUGGCACCAAUAGCUUUGGCCCUGGAAUGGUGUGUUGUGGAGGGGAUCUCCCCCAGUUCCUACUGGGUGGCUGUAGAUGAUUCUGGUGCUCAAAGUACCAAAAGCCAAGUCCCAGCCUGGGGGAUGGGAACAGCCUUCGGCUAGGUCCCAUGGGGUGAAAAUACAUUGUGCUGAGGAUUGCACACUGGCAGACACACAUGUGGAGCAAUGGAAUGCACACAGAGUCUUCCUUUGGUUCCACAGUGUGGAUUCAGGUGACUGAGGUAUAUAAUAGUAACACUCAACUCAGAGUUGCAGUACAUGAAGUGUAACUUGCCCAGUUCCCAAGGUAGAUUGUUAGGUUAUUGUGGGGACUGUGCAUUGGCAGCUGUAGGUUUAUAAUGAGGGAGUGGAAAUGGGGCCUCCCUCAGGCCCCACAGGGCAAGUGCAGAUGUCGCUGGGACUUGCAGAGUCAACCAUUUCAGUGCCAGAGCUGCUAGAUACAGUAGAGGUAAAACCAGGUUCCAUGUUUCAUGUCUCACAGGGUGAACUCAGCUGACUCUAGCGGAUACAGUUCAAACAGCCUCAGUCCAUGAGCUGCAGGAAUUGAAGGGGAGCUUACCUACACCCCACAGGGAGACAACCAGUUACAUUUGAGACUGUGCACUAACAGUCACAAGCCUGGAACAGUGGGAUGUAGAAAGGCCUCACUUGGGAACCAAGAUGAACCUGCUGAGAAUUACGGACUAGCAGCCACCAGCCUGAAGGACAGGCAAAUAGGACCACCUAGGUACUAUCUAUAAAUGAGCAUUACUCCAGGGACUGUAGCACCAAUAAGCACAGACCCAGAGCUGUAGUACCCAGAAGGGACUGCUCCCGGUUCUCAUGGGGCAUGCGAGAGCGAUGCUGCAGUUUAUGCCCGAGCUAUCACACUCUGCUAAUACAUGUAGAAGGGGACUUACUCAGGUCUGGUCCUCAGGAUUUGUGUAUGGGCUGCCACUGGCACUGAGCCCCAAGAAACAGAGAGGGACUUCCCUGGACCACACAUAGCAGGCAAUUGUGACUCUGAAGCUUGUGGUCACCAAUCCCAGAGCUGAUGGAAACAGAGGGGUCUGCUUUCUGUCCUGUCCAGCACACUGGCUCAUGGGGCUUCUUGUGUUGAGCAGCCUGCCUGCUGUAACCAAGAUGGAAUAGAGGUCAUCCUGGCUGUGUAGCAGCAGCAGCUCCAGUCUGGGACUUUGGAACAGGCAGAAGCAAUUGAAACUUCUUUAUUUUCAAGAAGGCAAACAUAUCGGUUGUUUUCUCCUGUGGCCAAUGCCUUCAGUGCCAACAGCACAGAGAGGAAGCAUGCAGAGCUGCCGCGGAAACUGAGACGUCUGGGACCCAUGGGGAGACAGAGCUGGGAGAAGCAAGAGCUGGGACGGUCCAUGGAGAGGUGCAGGAAAAACGAUACCUGAUUUGACUGAUUCUCCACGGAGUUGACCAUGAAGCGGAAACAAAAAGUGAAACAUCUGGAAAGCACUUGCAGCCCCCAAACUGAGAAGCCAUCAAGAGGAAUGCUGAAUUUAUAUAUAGAUGUUCUACAGCAUAAACAAAACACACAGACCCCAACUUCAGAUGACAAAGGGGUUGCAUCUUAUUCCUCCUCCCACUGUUUCUCCUGUGUCUCAUCUAAAGGCAAGACUGUUGGUGCAGGAUGGAGAGAUGGCAGAGGGUACAAAAUCAAGCCAGGAUCUAGGAAUCUCAACCUUACAUAAAUGUACUCCAAAAUAUUUAGAGGAGAAGAUCCUGGCCCACGAGGCAAAAGAGACAUCUUCGGAAUCAGAAUAUACCUGCCAGUCCUCUUUGCAGAAGCAUUCUUGUGCUGAAUCCCAGAAGUCUCAAGUGUAUGCUCCUGAGACAAGUAUAGCACGCCCAGCCUGUAGUCAGGCAGCAGGAGAGCGCUCCUCUGUUUCAGAGUAUUUCUCCUGUGUCUCCUCUCCAAACAAGAACCCUGCUGCUGCUGAAGACGGAAUCCAAAAACACCAACAAGAAUAUUGCGUUCAAUCUUCUGAGAUGCCCCUGCAGAUUCUCACCCCAUAUCAGCGUAACUGUUUUCAUUACCAUUUAGCCAAUGAGCCCUGUACACCAGAAAUACAUCGGAGAAAGGAAAGGGACAUGAAAGUUUACUACAUGCGUGUUCAAAGCAAAAAGGAGACGGCUGGCUUACGAAAUGCACAGAAAGGACUGGUGCCUCUCCAAAGAAAGAAAGAAGUACAAGAAAUGACUUUUCCAGGGAAAAUCCCUAUCGUAACUAACCUCCCCACCAUGUCAGCAUGGGAACUCUUAACCGACAGUGAGUGUGGCUGCGAUGUGGAAGAACAAGAGAAGGUGGGGGUGGAGGAGAAGCAGGAGGAGCCUGACAGCCCAGCAGGGCUUCUAGCUCUGCAGAGACGUCCCAGGGCCAGGACGCCCGAGUGGCUGGUGACCCCCGAGAGUGGCUACAAGUGUAUGGGCUGCUGCCGAGUCUUCCCCAGCCGGACCGUCCUGCAGAGGCACGUGCAGCACGGGGUUGAGGAGGGCUUUAGCUGUCGUGCUUUUCAUCUUGCCUUGGCCUGGCUGAAUAGCAAAAGCAACAUGAAAGAGAAGACCAAGAAGAGGGGAAAUAAAAUCAGGAAGAUCACAUAUGGAGGCAAAAUGGGAAGAGGUACCGAUACAAGGUAUCCCUCACGCAAGUAAACAGAUGGCUUGCACACCUAAAAAAGAGACAGCGAAGCAGCCACACUCCACUGAGGCAGUCCCAUCUUCUCUGACGGCCAGAGCACCCACCUUGCUUACACACACCUGACACCUCCAUGACCUACAGGGUCACUGCAAACCCUCGGAUGGGACCCACUGCCCUCACCAGCACGAAGGGGAAGAAGGCAGACGGUCACAAAGGACAACCUAGUGUCCUCACAGUCUAACCAGCAACGCAGGGCAGGGUGUCGUCUCCACCGCCACAGUGGGGAGAGGGAGACUCACUGGAAGUGGAAUUGCUGUGGGUGGAGUGCAGCAGAGAGUCUUGGGCAAAGUGAAUGAAAUUUUUAUGAAGCCAAAUAUAUCAGCCGUUUCCUCGUAUGGAUUGUGCCUUUAAUGUCAAAAGUAAACACAGAGGAGAAACAUGCAGAGCUACCUCGGAAAUUUAGAGACUGCUGGGGCGUGUGGGAAGACAGAUAAGUAAAAGAGAGAGUCCAGGAACAAUGAUGGACACCAGAGACCAGUGUUGGAAUGUCUGGAAGCCCAAGCAGUAUAGUACCCUGGAUCAAUCCAUUCCCACCUAUCUCACUUCUGUUUGUUGUCAAUGCUGUACUGAUUUCUGGCUUUAAGGGUUGUAAUCAUCUUUUGUUCAAGACAUUUCCAUUCACUUUUUAGUUGCUUGUAUUAUAGAGUUAAGUCACUCUUUGAAUAGAUUUUUAUGGCAAACAUUCCCUGAAAAACUUUUCUAACCUUUAUUUUUAUUCAUUUGAACAGAGGGAGAGAGAAAAAAUGGGACAUAUUACACCUCUGGGGCACUCCCUUUACACCCACAACAGGCAGCGCUAGGCCAGCCCAAGAACAAGAGUCAGAAACUCCAGCGUCCCAUGUGGGUGGCAGGGAGCCAAAAAUUUGAGUCAUCAGCUUCUGCCUCCCAGGGUGCACACUAGCAGAAAGUUGGAUAAGUGGAGGUGGGACCUAAACUUAAGUCCUCAAACACUGGGACUUGCAAGCAGCAGCUCAUCCCUCUGAGCCACAGUGCUCCUCUCCCCAUGCUGAAAAAUUCUGGUUGCACAACUGACUAUGUCUGCCGGUUGCCUUUAUACCUGAAGAUCAAAUUGACUGCAAAUAAUAUUCCAGAAACGCCCUUUCUUUCUUUCAACAGCUGUGGACACAAUUCCAUUAGUUUCAAGCAAUGGAUAUUGCUUUAGAGAAGCCAAAGGACAACUUCAUGUUUAGCUUUGUAAAAUCAUUUGCUGCCUCUUCUUGGGUGCCUAAAGAAUUUAUUUUAUUCCCUGAAAUAAAAAUAUCACUGGAGGUUAUGAAUUUCCAUAGGUGUUCCUACCUCAUUUCAUUCCUGCAAACUCAAACUCUAAACUACUUUCAUUUUUGACUUUAAUUUUCCUCUCAUGCUAUGGAAUUAAGGUGCUUCAAAAGUUCAUGGAAAACCAUAUUAGGAUAAAUACAGAUG